AGCGAACGCUGGCGGCAGGCCUAACACAUGCAAGUCGAACGAACCUUUCGGGGUUAGUGGCGGACGGGUGAGUAACACGUGGGAACGUGCCUUUAGGUUCGGAAUAACUCAGGGAAACUUGUGCUAAUACCGAAUGUGCCCUUCGGGGGAAAGAUUUAUCGCCUUUAGAGCGGCCCGCGUCUGAUUAGCUAGUUGGUUGAGGUAAUGGCUCACCAAGGCGACGAUCAGUAGCUGGUCUGAGAUGAUGAUCAGCCACAUUGGGACUGAGACACGGCCCAAACUCCUACGGGAGGCAGCAGUGGGGAAUCUUGCGCAAUGGGCGAAAGCCUGACGCAGCCAUGCCGCGUGAAUGAUGAAGGUCUUAGGAUUGUAAAAUUCUUUCACCGGGGACGAUAAUGACGGUACCCGGAGAAGAAGCCCCGGCUAACUUCGU
rnacentral:rRNA from 1 species